rnacentral:rRNA from 1 species
GACGAACGCUGGCGGCGUGCUUAACACAUGCAAGUCGAGCGGUAAGGCCCUUUCGGGGGUACACGAGCGGCGAACGGGUGAGUAACACGUGGGUGACCUGCCCUCAGCUCUGGGAUAAGCCUGGGAAACCGGGUCUAAUACCGGAUAUGACUCCAUGACGCAUGUUGUGGGGUGGAAAGCCUUGUGCGGCUGAGGAUGGGCCCGCGGCCUAUCAGCUUGUUGGUGGGGUGAUGGCCUACCAAGGCGACGACGGGUAGCCGGCCUGAGAGGGCGACCGGCCACACUGGGACUGAGACACGGCCCAGACUCCUACGGAGGCAGCAGUGGGGAAUCUUGCGCAAUGGGCGAAAAGCCUGACGCAGCGACGCCGCGUGAGGGAUGAC